rnacentral:rRNA from 1 species
CCUACGGGCGACAGCAGUGAGGAAUAUUGGUCAAUGGACGAGAGUCUGAACCAGCCAAGUAGCGUGAAGGAUGACUGCCCUAUGGGUUGUAAACUUCUUUUAUAUGGGAAUAAAAUGUUCCACGUGUGGGAUUUUGUAUGUACCAUAUGAAUAAGGAUCGGCUAACUCCGUGCCAGCAGCCGCGGUAAUACGGAGGAUCCGAGCGUUAUCCGGAUUUAUUGGGUUUAAAGGGAGCGUAGGUGGAUUGUUAAGUCAGUUGUGAAAGUUUGCGGCUCAACCGUAAAAUUGCAGUUGAAACUGGCAGUCGUGAGUACAGUAGAGGUGGGCGGAAUUCGUGGUGUAGCGGUGAAAUGCUUAGAUAUCACGAAGAACUCCGAUUGCGAAGGCAGCUCACUGGACUGCAACUGACACUGAGGCUCGAAAGUGUGGGUAUCAAACAGGAUUAGAUACCCCAGUAGUC